GUACUUUUUUGCAUUAUUAUUUUUAUGAUCAGAAUAGUUAAAUUACAUAUAACAUGAUCCAAAUAUAGUAGAAUCACCAGUGAUAUGAAAUUUGCCUACCAAAUUGAUACAUAUUAUUUUCAUUAAAAGACCUAUUAUUAUUUGAUUGAUUUUGAUGAUAUCCGAAAAUUGUUCUACUAAUGAUAUUUCUUUAUAACUACUUCAGGUGAUAAAUCUAUGAUCAAGAGGAGAUACAUGUAUCUUACUGAAGAGAUUUUGAAAGAAAAUCCUAGUGUAUGCGAAUACAUGGCACCUUCAUUGGAUGCUAGGCAAGACAUGGUGGUGGUAGAGGUGCCUAGACUAGGAAAGGAGGCUGCAGUGAAGGCUAUAAAAGAAUGGGGCCAACCAAAAUCAAAGAUUACACACUUAAUAUUUUGUACCACAAGUGGUGUAGACAUGCCUGGUGCCGAUUACCAACUCACAAAACUCUUAGGUCUUCGUCCAUAUGUGAAGAGAUACAUGAUGUACCAACAAGGAUGCUUUGCAGGUGGGACGGUGCUUCGUUUGGCCAAGGACUUGGCUGAGAAUAAUAAAGGUGCUCGUGUGUUGGUUGUUUGUUCUGAAGUUACUGCAGUGACAUUCCGUGGUCCUAGUGAUACUCAUUUGGACAGUCUUGUUGGACAAGCACUCUUUGGAGAUGGAGCUGCUGCACUCAUUGUUGGUUCUGACCCAAUACCAGAAAUUGAGAAACCUAUAUUUGAGAUGGUUUGGACUGCACAAACAAUUGCUCCAGACAGUGAGGGGGCCAUUGACGGUCAUCUUCGUGAAGCUGGUCUAACAUUUCACCUUCUUAAAGAUGUUCCUGGGAUUGUUUCAAAGAACAUUGAUAAAGCAUUGAUCGAUGCUUUCCAACCAUUAAACAUUUCUGAUUACAACUCAAUCUUUUGGAUUGCUCAUCCAGGUGGACCCGCAAUUCUUGAUCAAGUUGAACAAAAGUUAGGCUUAAAACCUGAAAAGAUGAAAGCCACUAGAGAAGUACUUAGUGAAUAUGGUAACAUGUCAAGUGCAUGUGUAUUGUUUAUCUUAGAUGAGAUGCGAAAGAAAUCUUCUCAAGAGGGGCUUAAGACCACAGGAGAAGGGCUUGAUUGGGGUGUGUUGUUCGGCUUUGGACCUGGACUUACCAUUGAAACCGUUGUUUUGCACAGUGUGGCUAUAUGAUAAGCUUAAUUAGUUUAUUUUCAUUUGUAUGCUUUCAAAUUUGUUCGACUUUUAUAAAUUAGUUUAUUCUCACAAUGAAAAUGGAGAGUAAUGUAAAGCUAUUUAUAGCCACGACACCAUCCUAAAUUGUAUCUACAAUCAAGGAAACGUUUAAAAUUAUUCAAACUUGUCAAAAAGGCAUUAGUCACACCACAAUAAACCGUUCAAACAUUGCUUGUAAUUAACGUCACAAUCUAAAUUCUAGAUUAUUUUAGAUUAUAUAAUCCCAACUCAUGCCUAGUAUUAGUUCAUAAAAUAUGCACAAGUUGUGUUAAAAUUUCUGAUUCAAGAGAUUUGACACGUUUAAGAUUAUAUAAUUUGAACUAUGUUUAGAACACAUAAAACAGGAAAAAGUUAUCAAUAAAUCAAAUUCUAUAACGACAACAACAAACUACAUUAUACAUAACAAUUUCAACAACGUAAACCAACAUAAUUAAACACAAACAAAGAUCAUGAAUCAGUCAAACUAAAUUAUUCAUAUCGUCUAUCGUUGUAAGCCUUGAUUUUUUUUCCUAUGUUUUGGGUUGAAUUAAAAUCUCUUGAAUAUCAUGGAAAGAUCAUACCAAAACGCGUCUAACUCGACCAAUCCAUUCAAACUAUGCUGGCCAAAUAUGGAUAACAUAGUUCUCACGUCAUCGCCAUUUUAGAUUGACCGAACGCUUCCAUCUAAGUUGAUCGAUGGACAACGAUGUCAAAGUAAAAACGAAAUGAAAAAGUAACAACAUGUCACUUAUUAGAACGAAUUAAAAAGUAAGAGGUUUUUUUACACAAUAAAAAAUAUAUAUAAAAAAGAAGAAGCAAGUGACAAUUAAAUAAUACAAUGAUUUUAAUUCUUUGUAUGUGAAAUCAAAAUUACCCAAAACAAGAUGCAAUUUUGAAUUAUAUUUUUCAAUCGCAUUCUUUAGUGAUUCAUUGCAGAAAAUAAUGAAGCGGCAUAUCAAAAUGAAGAUGAAAUUGACAAAAAAAGAAUGGUAUGUGUCAGAACUCUAAACAUAUAGUCCCUUAACAAAAAAAAAAAAAAAACUCUAAACAUAUGGUAGAAGAGCUAUAAUGGGAAUUCGUAGGCAAAUGAGUAUCUUAAGUCUCAAUUAGAUAGAUUCUCAAAAUAUUCUUCAAUAAAAGUAGUUGUCAUGUAAAAUUAAAUGUUAAGAAAUUAUAGUUUCUUUUUACAAAAAUAAAUGAUAGUUUUUUUUGUCAAAAAAUAAAUAAAUGAUAGUUGAAUACAAUUUUUUUCAUUACAUAAAAAAAAAAAUUAAUGAGGUUAAUCAUUAUUCUAUAUGUGUGUGUGUAUGUUGUCGAUUUUACUUAUAAUAAUUGAGUCAUGUUUAUAGUUUCUUAAAAAAAAUGACUUUUUAUAAACAUAAAUUUUAUAGUUUCUUAAAAAAAUUAAAGACUUGUUAUUAAAAUCAAAAGAUAAACAUUUGAUAAGGACAUUCAUGUAUAUUUUCUUUUCCGCACGUACUUUAUAAUAUCCUUAAAGCACGUCUCAAAUGUGUAUAUAUUUUAAUGUCUAAAUAUAAAUUGAAGUCGAUCUCCUCUUUUUUUUUAAAUAACAAAUGACACAACGUAUUUACCUAAAAAAAUGACAGAAAGUAACUAAACUUGCAACAAUAUUUUUUUAGGUAUAAACUCGCAACAAUAUUGUUAAUCGAGUGAUAUACUCAAAUGAUUAAUAAACUUUAGUUAAGAACUAAUUGUUAGAAGAAUUCAUUUCAAAUAUUUACUAGAACAAUAUAUCAUUGUUCAAAUUUUACUUACUAAUGAACUUAAAUUCGAACUACGACAAUGUUAUUUUCCUAGAAAUCGAAGAGUUAAAAAGACAAAAAGAGCUCACAGCCAUGUUUAGUCUAAUGGCCAAUUAUUGCUUACUAAAUAUUAAAUAAAACACAAUAGGAAUAGGGGAAAGACCAAACUCAUACAUGUGACAGCCAGACAUAUAUAGUAUUGUAUUAGCACCAAGUUGUAUUCAAUGUGAAAAAAAUUGCACGAUGAAAAUGUUACAAGUAUUUUAGUGAAGCGUACGAUGUUUAGCUACCCUUCAAUUCAGUAUGCACUAACAUAUAUUCCAAUAAUGAGAAACCUUAAUGAUCUGUUCCAAUCCAUCAUCACACAUCGUACUCAUUCCUUUUCUAUAUAUACAACAAAAAUACUGUUUACCAACAUACUAUAUAGUUGCUAUUAUUAGAAGGUUAAUAUAUCAAGAUGGUGAGUGAAGGAGCGUUAAAGUUCUUGAGGAAGAACUUUAUUUUCUAUCAUGGUUCUAUCCGUCUUUAUGGACUAGUUUCUACGAUUGUACGUAGAGAAUACUCGCCUUACAACAAUAAAAUAGAUAUUCACAAGAAUCAUAGGGCAGGGCAGAAGGCCCUGCAAUCAUCUUGGCCAUAGGAACUGCAAAUCCACCAAAUUGUGUUGAACAAAGCACAUAUCCUGAUUUCUAUACUUCAGAAUCGCAAAUAGCGAGCACAAGACGCAACUCAGAGAGAAAUUUCAGCGCAUUUGUAAGUAUUCUUUUAAUCUAUUAGUAUUAUUUUUAGAUACUUUCCAUUAACAUUUAUUUUCGAUCUCUAGUAUUCUUUUAAUCUCUAGUUAAAAUCUAUAUGAAUAGGCAAAACCAUUUCUGAAUUUGUAAGAUGUUGAUCAAUAUAUAUAUUUUGUUAAGCUUUCUGUCACACUGCAUGAGUUAGCACGUUAAGUGUUUAUAUGACAGUUGAUCAUGAUGGGUAUUUUUGGUGGUUAUAAAAGCUAGACUAUGCAGCUUUAUAAUACCAUGGUGGUUCAGGUCCAAUUUUACUCAGUUUCGAUUUUAUAAGCGAUUUAACUUGAAAUUCAUAUCCAAAAAUGUGAGAUCAAAUCAUUAUACGAGUUAAAACGUGAUUUUAACACCUUGAACUUUGGUAAUAGUUUCUUGAUGAAGCUUGAACUUUGGUUCCCAUUUCCUUAUCGUUAGGUAACGAUCAGACAAAAGUUAACAUACUUCUAUUUAAGUCUUCAUUCUCUUGAAAUUUGACAUAGAAGAAAUCAUCAAUAAUUAGACACAAUCAUAUAUUUUAUUUAUUAUUUUAUAUUUUUGUCUUAAGAAACCUGCUAGUUAUAAAAAAACAAAUUUAUUUAAAGACAAAUCGUUAAGUUAGGUAGAAUAAGAGUUUGAAUUUUGACUGAAGCAAUUACUAGUCAUACUUUACUUACGUUUAAACUCCAGAUUUUUAGGCCAUCUUCUCAUGAAAACGGGAGGGUUAAGACAAAAAGAUGUAAAAAAAAUUAAAUACAGAAAACAAAUAUAUGUUUAGCUCAUAAAAAAAUAUCAUUGUUUUAGAAGUCACUUGUGAUUAUAAUUUUUCCUACUAUAUCGAUAAUAAAUAUUGCAUUACAAGAUCUUAUUAUAUGAUUGAUUUUGGUAUUGCCAAAGAUUUUGUUAUACUAAUGUCAAUUAUUUAUAAUUACUUUAGGUGAAAAAUCAAUGAUCAAGAGAAGAUACAUGUACCAAACAGAAGCUAUUUUGAAAGAGAAUCCUAAUUUUUGCACUUAUAUGACACCUUCUUUGGAUGCUAGGCAAGACAUGGUGGUGCGAGACGUGCCUAGGCUAGGAAAUGAGGCUGCAGUGAAAGCUAUAAAAGAAUAGGGCCAACCAAAGUCAAAGAUUACACACUUAAUAUUUUGCACCAUGAGUGGUAUAGGCAUGCCUGGUGCCGAUUACCAACUCACAAAACUCUUAGGUCUUUGCCCGGAUGUGAAACGGUAUAUGAUAUACCAACAAGGAUGCUUUGCAGGGGGCACUGUUCUACGUUAGGCCAAGGACUUGGCUGAGAACAAUAAAGAUGCUCUUGUGUUGGUAAUAUGUUCUGAAGUCACUACAUCACUAUUUUGUGGCCCUAAUGAAACUGACAUGAGCAACCUUGUUGGACAAGCAUUAUUUGGUGAUGGAGCUGUUGUAGUCAUUGUUGGCUCCGAUCCGAUAUCAAAAAUUGAGAAACCUCUCUUUGAGCUUGUUUGGACUGCACAAACAAUAGCUCUAGAUAGUGAAGAAGCAAUUAGCGGCCAACUUCGUGAAGUUGGACUAACAUUUAAUCUUCGUAAAGAUGUCCCUGAAAUUAUCUCAAAGAACAUCGAUAAAGAACUAGUUAAGGCAUUCCAACCAUUAGGCAUCUCUGAUUACAAUGCAAUUUUUUGGAUUGUCCACCCAGGCGGACCUGCAAUUUUGGACCAUGUUGAACAAAAGUUAGCUUUGAAACCGGAAAAGAUGAAGGCCACUAGGGAAGUACUUAGUGAAUAUGGUAACAUGUCAAGUGCUUGUGUAUUGUUUAUAUUGGAUGAAAUGAGAAAGAGAUCAGCUCAAGAGGGACUUGAGACCACAGGAGAAGGACUUAAAUGGGGAGUGUUGUUCGGCUUUGGACCUGGACUUACCAUUGAAACUGUUGUUCUCCAUAGUAUGGUUAUAUGAGAUGCUUUAUAUUGUUUUCUUUUAUUUUGUUCUAUUACUUUUAAGCUUGCUUGAAUUUCCAUGUAACAAGAAUAAAUAGAGUUCAAUUUGACUAUCAAUGUUAAAUAGUGUAUUGGUAACAUGUUGUACUGAUAGAGGACUUAUAGUUGACCCAAUAAUUAUAAACUUAAGAUAUUUUAUUUAAUGUUUUGAAUAUAAUGGUUUUUAUUUAAAUUCUUAUCUUUUUGUUAUUAUCUUAGAACUCUCUAGAUGGUGGCACGUGGAUGGUUACCAUUCAUUAAUUGUAGGAAUACUAUGUUAUUUGAAUGACGAAUUUUUAUAACGUGCAUAUUAACUUGUAUUGCAAGAAAACCGACAGUUUGCUCCAUAUUUGUUUUGACCUGUUUUCAUUUUAAUUAUAGUGUGGGAGAUAAAGGAAUGUAAAGAGGGGUAAAAGAAUAAGGAUUGAUCUAAGUAUUGAGAAACUCGCUAAGCAAUCCAACAAAUGACUCAGUCAAUCAGAUAAACUAAGUUGCCUUUUACAGUCACAAAACAUUGUUGGAUUGUAAUGUUAUCAUAUAGAUUAACUGAGUCAAGAAUCAGAAUUUAAUUGGUACGAUAGGUCUCUCGUGAUUUGCCGGGAAUAAUAAUGUACGAAGAACGAUAGGUGAAGAAAUAACCAAAAACUUGAAAGUAUGUAAUCUAUCACGAGGAUACAUCAGAGGAAUAGUUAAUGAAAUAUAUUCAAAGCAUGUCUGUUUAUAUGUGAUUUUCAUUACUUUUAAUGUUGAUUUAGUUUAUGCACUACUAAACCUUAUUCAACCCUGUCCUAAUGAGCUUAGCUCAGUUGGUAUGGACAAUGCAUAAAAAUAUGCAAGAUUCGGGGUUCAAAUCCCGGCCACAACAAAAAAAAAAAAAAAAAACCUUAUUCAACCCUACUUAAGAUAAUAUAAGUAGCUGAACAGCAAAAAUGUACCGCAAGUCUCUGUGGAUACGAUAAAACAAAUACUUUUAUUGCCACUAUUAGCUAUCAAUGGCGUUGUUGUUGGGAACUUGUGUCUUAUAUUUUAGCAUAGUAGUGAUUUUUAUCAUUCAAAGCAAUUUUGCAAUUUUACUUUGAUUGUGCGUACAUUUACUUUUUGUAACAAAUUUCUAAGCAAGAAAAAUAUUUGAUAACCGAUACUGCAAAGUUCAGUAAAAAAAUUAUAUGCUCAAUUUACUUUCUUUUUUUUCUAACCCUUGGAAGAGAGUGUUGAGUUUCUGUUGUAUAGAGUAGAACCAUGACAGAUCAAAGCAUAUUACCAUUAUACAAGAAUAUAUGAACUUGUUGGUACAAUUGCAACACCAAAGAAGGAGAAGAAGAAGAGGAGGAGGAGAUUGUGUUUACGAUAUUGUUGCCUUCAUUCAUUAAUCGGGAAAGCAACAAAGCGGUACUUAGAUAAACCAACACAUGGUCAAUUCAAAUUGGUAUGAAUUUUAAGAGAGAUUUCUUAAGAAAUUUUUCCCGCACAACAGAUUCAUGGAGGCCAAGACAACUAUUGCCAUAUUUUUCCAGUGCCUUAAUGAAACAUUUGGUGAAGCAUGAGAACAGUAUUUAUUGUGUGUGCAAGAAUAAUUUAAUAAUUUUCUCUUUUUUAUUUAAAAAAGGAUAAUUAGGUUCAUGACAAUAUUUAAAACUAUAAAAUAGUCCAUGUGAUAAAAUAAAAAAAAUAAAAAAAAAUAAAAAGCAUGCAUCUUUAUAGAAUUUAAAAAUAAAAAGAAGACAAGAUCCAAAAUGAACCAUAAAUUAUCCACAAUAUAACAAAGUGAGUCUUCGCUCAUAUAUUUUACUAGACAUAUAUUUGAUUCCUAUAAGUAAAUUAAAUUAAUAAAAAAAAUUAAAAGUAAAUUAAUAACCUUGUAUAUUUAUGACUUAUGUAAAAAAAUAAAACAUUGAUUGAAGUCUGAAAAACAUUUUCCAUUUUCUAAGCUCAUUUCUCUAAGCCCACUCAAUUUCAAGUCCAUCUUUCUUUGUUCAAACAAAAAAAAUCCUUUCAAACACAAUUUUCCACUCUUUUUCUCCAAUUUUCCAUUCUCUUCUCUGUUCAGACACAAAAUUCCAAACUCAUACAAUUUUCCAAUCGAACGAUGAAGCUGAUUGAAGAUUCAAUCGUUUUGAUUCAUUCAUCAAUUGAAGCUCAUUGAAGCUCCAAUCGUGUUCCAAUCUCGUUUUUCCGAUCUAGUUUUGAAAAGUUGGUUGAAGAGCUUCAAUCUUUUCCAAUCUCGGAAAUUAGUAGCAAACUAGCGAACAAUAAACUUUUAUUCAUUUGAAAAAAAAAAACCUUUAUUCAUUCAAAAAGCUAGGAAAUAAACAAAGUUUGUUCAUAAAAUAUACACAACCGUGUUCUUUCUUCAUAUCGUUCAUUGCCCUAAGAAAAACCUAAAAUUCUACUAAAACUAAAUUAAACUAGCAACCUAUAGGAAUAGAAAUAUCAUCGUAACUUAGUUUGUUCAAAUUAAUUGUCAAAUAUCAUCAAAACUUAGUUUACAAAAGUUUCAACUAACACUAAAUUAAUUUAUCCAACAAAAAUCUAAGUUUACAAAAGUUUCAACUAACACUAAAUCAAUUUAUCCUCACUACCAAAAAAAAAUUAAUUUAUAUAUCCAACAAAAAUCUAAGAUUCAACUAACACUAAAUUAAUUUAUCCAACAAAAAAAAUUUCUAAUAACAAUAACAAACAUUCAUACUAGUAGGCUAGUAACAAACUAGCAAUCUAUAGAAAUAAAAAUAAGUGUCGGAUGAAAAUCACGUUGAGCUAUGUUUCUUGUUUCUUUCUCGUUUGUGUAAUGUGCUGAAAGGUUUCUCUCUCCCUUAUUUAAAACGUUUGAGGUAAGCUUUGAAAGAGGACAAAGAUUAGAGUUACCACCCUUAGGAUUUGAUCUCCCUAAUAUUAAAAAAAGGUUAAAAUUUGGAUUGUUUAUUGUUGUGAUGAACUCCAAUAAUGUCAAAACAUUUUUUAUUAUUAAAUUGCAUAUUUUCAUAAAACAAUCAAUCAUCAACCACUCAAAAAAAAAAAAAACCACUCAAACAUUUAAACCAAAUCUAAAAAUCCAACAUUUAGUUAAUUAACUUAGAGAAAGAUAUUUGUAACUCUAGUCCCUAUAGACCAAUAUUUUUAUUACACUACUGUACUUUCGUAAAUUAAGGUGUAUCGUUAUUCUUGCUUCAAAAAUCUAUAAAUUAAAUAUCACUUUUAUGAAAUAAAAAGUUUUUUGUUGACAUUUAUAUUUUAAAAACUAUCAUUUUAUAAGAAAAAACAUUGUUUCAUUAUUUAUAGAAAUCAUACUAAAAAAAAUUAUAUUUUAAUGUAAAAAAUAACCAAAUUUCGUCGACGUUUUUGAUAAAUAAGAUUUGGUUUUUAUAAAUAUAGGUAAUAGAAAAUAAUUUUUCUUUUAAAAAUUUUGGAUGUAGCGUAGAACUUGCCAAUUAACGGUGUCUAACUCCACACAUAAUAGAGUCUUAUACUUUGUCGAAAUAUACUGUUAGUUUUUUAAUCUUUGAAUAAGAUCACUGUAUACAACACUUGGUUGCGAUGCAUGUACGUACCUUUAUUUCACAAAAUUAAUGCAUAAAAUGUAGCAAAUUAUUGUUUAUUAAAAUAAUAAAAAGAGGGUAGAGAGGGCUUCAAAGUCAUGUGGAUAUUUUCCACCAAACUCACACAUGGAAUGUCUUGGACACAUUCAUGCACGUUGAGCCAGCCAGAUUAACAAAAGUAUCUUGUUUUGGUUGUUGAAUAUAAUAUAAUAUUUGUCAAAAUGGAAAGUGUUUCAAAGUGCUCUAGUCAAACACGUGAUGCUCAGCUACCCUCCAAUCCAAUAUCCACCAUCUCCCUUUAAUUUCCAAAUCUUCCAUUCAUAUAUAAUCCUCUUCUCUCAAACAUGUUUUCACCACAACACUCUUCACCCUUUCCUUUCUACAACAAAUACUAAGUUCAAAAUACAUUACAUAUUUAGUUUCAUACCAAUAUAUAUAUAUAUCAUAUAUUUGCUACAUAGAAACUACCAAAAAUACCAAGAUGGUGAGUGUAUCUGAAAUUCGCAAGGCUCAAAGGGCAGAAGGUCCUGCAACCAUAUUGGCCAUUGGCACUGCAAAUCCAGCAAACUGUGUUGAACAAAGCACAUAUCCUGAUUUUUACUUUAAAAUCACAAAUAGCGAACACAAAACUGAGCUCAAAGAAAAAUUUCAACGCAUGUGUAAGUAUGCUAUUAUUUAUGUUGUAACCUUUGAGUAUGUAAAAACUUUGAUCAGAAGGGUACAGCAUACAUUGUGUAUGUCCAACAAUUUUUUUAACAAAUAGGAGUAUUUUUUUUAAGGCAACAAAUAGCAGUAUUAUUCACCACUAAGUAGCGGUGCAGACAUAUAACUAUAGUCUAUAACAUUUAACAAUGAAAAUUAUGUGCAUUAUGAACAUAUUAUUAUGUGAUUAAUUAGUUUGGUAUUAUCCCAAAACUGUUGUACUGAUAAAUGUUAUUUCUUUAUAACUUCAGGUGACAAAUCCAUGAUCAAAAGAAGAUACAUGUAUCUAACAGAGGAGAUUUUAAAAGAGAAUCCUAAUGUUUGUGAAUACAUGGCACCUUCAUUGGAUGCUAGACAAGACAUGGUGGUGGUAGAAGUACCUAGACUAGGGAAGGAGGCUGCAGUGAAGGCUAUAAAAGAAUGGGGUCAACCAAAGUCAAAGAUUACUCACUUAAUCGUUUGCACCACAAGCGGUGUAGACAUGCCUGGGGCCGAUUAUCAACUCACUAAACUCUUAGGUCUUCGUCCAUAUGUAAAAAGAUACAUGAUGUACCAGCAAGGUUGUUUUGCAGGUGGCACGGUACUUCGUUUGGCUAAGGAUUUGGCUGAGAACAACAAAGGUGCUCGUGUGUUAGUUGUUUGUUCUGAAGUCACUGCAGUCACAUUUCGUGGUCCCAGUGAUACACACUUGGACAGUCUUGUUGGACAAGCACUAUUUGGAGAUGGAGCAGCUGCACUUAUUGUUGGGUCUGAUCCGGUACCAGAAAUUGAAAAACCUAUAUUUGAGAUGAUUUGGACAGCACAAACAAUUGCUCCUGAUAGUGAAGGUGCCAUUGAUGGUCAUCUUCGUGAAGCUGGGUUAACAUUUCACCUUCUUAAAGAUGUUCCUGGGAUUGUGUCAAAAAAUAUAAAUAAAGCAUUAGUUGAGGCUUUCCAACCAUUGGGAAUCUCUGAUUACAACUCAAUCUUUUGGAUUGCACACCCUGGUGGACCUGCAAUUUUAGACCAAGUAGAGCAAAAGUUAGCCUUAAAGCCCGAAAAGAUGAGAGCCACACGGGAGGUGCUAAGUGAAUAUGGAAAUAUGUCAAGUGCAUGUGUAUUGUUUAUCUUGGAUGAAAUGAGAAAGAAAUCAACUCAAAAUGGUUUGAAGACAACCGGAGAAGGGCAUGAAUGGGGUGUGCUAUUCGGCUUUGGACCAGGACUUACCAUUGAGACUGUUGUCUUGCGCAGUGUAGCUAUAUAAGAUGCUUAAUCAUAUUUAUUUCCAUUUAUCACUUUUAAAUUUGCUUUAUUUUUAUGUAAGGAAGAAAAAAAAACUCAUUGUACGGUCAUAUUCAAAUUAAAUAAUAUAGUUGUGAUUAACUUUAUUAUUUUUUUGUCAAGAUUAACUUUAUAUUAUAACAAUAUUAACUUACUUCCUCGAAAAAAAUUGUCAUUUAUUUGACUAAUAUAAAAUAUAUAAUUUAUAAUUAAGAAGAACAUUGAGUUAAGAUACAACAGACGAUGAUGAAGAUGACAAUGAUUUUAAGUAGGGAAUUAAAUUUUGAAAUGUAGUAAUCAAUCUAAAACAUUAGCAUGGUCUUCAUAAGUAAUUUUUAAUAGGAUUAUUAUAUAUCGAUAAUAAUUAAUUAUAUAGUAAAACUCAUUUGAAUUAGUUUGAGGGUGUUGACGUGUGACUUUGGAGUCUGAUGUCUAUGUUUGGUUCUUUCUAAUGUUGAUUUGAAUGGUAUAAGAUGACAAUAUAGUUCUUUAAAAAAGAUAAUAUAUAGUCAAUAAUGACAAGCCCACGCCAAGUCAUAUAUUUUUUAAAUGAUUAUUACAAAUAAUUUUUUGCAAGUUUUAUUUAGCUAAAAAUAUCAUGCUUUAAAAUUUUUAAAAAAAAAACUUUUUAAGCCUAGCUUGAAGACCAUAACGACCUGUUUGCUUAUUUGACAAGACAAAACAACCUAUUUUGGUAAAUAUAAAUAUAAUACUCCUUAUGUUUUAAAUUAUAAGUUGUUUUGACCAUUUCAUAAAGAUUAAGAAACAUAAUCAAUUGUGUAUGGAAAAGCAAAAUUAUAAGUAAUUUUAUAAAAUUAUCCUUUAUUAAAGAUAUUGAAAAGAUAAAUUAAAUAAUUAAAGAAAUGAGUAAUAAAUGAUAGAGAAUCCCAAUGUGUCACUGAAUUGGGUUAACAAACUCACCGUGUCUUUUACUUUUUUGUCAUUUAUUUUUCUGUGUUUUAUUUGUUUGUUUGCAUGAUGUUGAAACAUUAACUAGAACAUUUGCCUAUUUUGUAUCUGACGUUGAAACAUUUCAUAAAACAUCUUAAAACAUGUACUCUAGAAUUACAAAUUCACAUGAUCAAUCCAUUUUGGAUUUAUUCAAAGGAUUACCUAAAUUUGAAUUUGGCUUGAAGAGAUAUAAAAAAAAAUGAUUAGGUGAUCGAAGAAGAUCGUACAGUUUUUGUUCAGCUUUGGUGUUAUGUUUUAAAAUGUUAUUCCUCUCCUUUCUUUCGAAAAACAACAUUUUGGGUGGCCUCUGUUAAUACAAAAAAUAAAAUACUUGGUCUUUAAAAAGAUUGACACUAAACAUAAGUGUUUAACUUAACAAAGCCAAAUAUUUCAACCAAACUAAUUAUCAUAUUUUCAGUUGUUAUUUACUUAAAGUGAUUAAUGGACAUUUAAAGGAAGAAAGCAAGAUUUCGACAAGCAAGAUAGGUUAUUUCGACAUACUACACAGUGCAAAGGGAUUUCUACUAAGAGCAUACAGAUUUCGACAUACUGUAUUUUCGACCAAGUGUUUUAAUGUGUUGCAUGCAUAAGGUUUUCGAUCAAAGACAAUGAGAAAUAAUCUGAAGUUACAAUUGGAGUGCAAUAAGGCAAAGUGGAGCGCGUGGCGGCAAACAAGGCUGGAGGGCAUGGAAGUUAUUUUAUGAUGUCUUGUAAUUAUGUCAAGUGUAGGGCUCUAAGUAAAGGAAGUUAUUUCUACUUUUAAUUUAGACCGUAGGAUUUAUUGGUAGUUUUUUCUGCAAAAUCAUUGAUUUCUGAAAACUCCGCAACACCCACGCCAUGGGAGAAAACGGGUUCAGGAGUGGACAGAUAAACGGUUUCCAACCACACCAUUAUAUUCCCUGCAAUUUAAUUCCUUUAUUACCGCUUUAUUUUCCUUUUGUUUACUACAUUUUGCAUUUUUACUUUCAUUUUCUUUCUUUUGAAUGCUCAUUUGAGUGUUAUUUCUUUUGAGUCGUCAUUUGAUAAAUUGUUUUAUUAAAGUUGGAAGCAAUUAUAACACUAAUGAGAACGAUUGGAUUUGUUCUCAACAAAGACAUAAGGAAAGAGACCAUAAAUCGCUAAACUCAAAGAACCUCAAAAAGGACUUUAAUUCGGUUCUUAACAGUUUUGGAUAAUAUCAUUUGUAUUGUCAAAAAUCAGUGUAAACAGUUGGACAAACAUUAUUUGGAGAUGGAGCUCAUGCGCUCAUUGUUGGUUCUAACCGAAUACAAGAAAUUGAAAAAGUUAUAUUUUUUAUGGCAUGGACUAUAUAAACAAUUGCUCCACGCAAUGAAGGUGGCCUUCACUUCGUGAAGUUGGGCUAACAUUCAUGUUCGUGGGAUUUUCUCAAUGAAUAUUGAUAAAGCAUUAACUGAAGCAUUCCAACUAGGGGUGUUCGCGGUCCGGUUUGGAUCAGUUUUGAGGUAAAAUGUCAACCGAUCCGAAAUAAAUAUCACAUGUGGUUCGGUUCGGUUUGGAUGAGUAUUCUAAAAAAAUCCAAACCGAACCGAUCCAAAUAUAUGCGGUUUAAUUUGGAUCGGUUUUUGGACAUCCAAAAUGCAAAAUAUAUUUUUUUAGUUACUCUUUUUUGAAGAAUAUAAUUUUUUUUAUUAAUAUUAAUAUUACACAAACACGGUGAAAUAAUAGGUUUGAUGCAAAAUAUAUUAAGAAGUUAAAAUUAUUGUAUGAAAAUUAUCAAUUAUUUUUUAAACAUAUGUAGUCAUAAUAAUAUAGAUUAAAUUAGUGCAAUAUAUAUGAUUAAAAUUUAACAAGCAACAUAAUAAUGCAAUAUAUAAUACUAAUAAAAGAAUAUAUAAGUAUUAAUAUUUAUUUUUUCGGUUCGGUUCUGUUUAAUUCGGUUUUGAAAAGGUGAUCCGAAACCCGAUCCGAUCUUAGCGGUUUUUACAAAACAAUAUCCAAACACAUCCAAAUAUAUUCGGUUUUUUACAAUUUUCGAUUUUUUUGGAUCGAUUUGCGGUUUUAUUUUGGAUUUGAACCCCCCUAAUUCCAACCAUUAAACAUCUUCAAUUACAACCCAAUCUUCUGGAUUGCUCAUCCGAGUGGACCUGCAAUUAUAGAUCAAGUUGAGCACAAGUUAGGCUUAAAAUAUGAAAAAUGAAUAUCACUGUGCCGUAAACCAAAAGGUUUGAGAGUAAAAAUGGUCCUCAAAGUUAUCAUGAGGUUAUUUGACAUAUCUGCCACCCAACUCCAACAUGUCACGGACACAACCAGAAAGAAGCCAUAGUAUUUGUUGAGUUACACUUUCAAAAACACUACACCACAUUUCUAGGUAUAGUCGGUUUUAGAUGGCUUAUUUGAGGUUGGAAGUUGGAACUAAAAGUUUAGGAAUUCACUAGGGAGACAACACACGAACUCUUAACAUCGAUUAGAGACAACUCUUUUGGCACAUUUAAAGUCUCAUAUUAUUUGAGAAUCAAGGCAAAAGGAUGGUCUAUUGUCUAUAUACAAUAUCCACACUCAACCCAACGAAAUAUCCAUCAAAGUCCAAUAUAUUGAAAGCUUUCCAUAAAUGUCAAAAGUGUUUUAGUCAAACAACGUCGAUGUUAAGCUACCGUCCAAUUAAUAUCAACCAUGUCCCUUUCCACGAUCGAGUUCAAAUUGCACUACUAUAAAUACACAUACAAACUACUACGUACCACCAUAUUAUUCUAUGUAUGAUCUUAAAAAGCACAUUAUUAUAUUACUUUUUUGCUUUAUAAUUAGAAAACAUAUAUUAAGAUGGUAACUGUAUCUGAAAUUCGAAGGGCUCAAAGGGCAGAAGGCCCUACAACUAUCUUAGCUAUUGGCACUGCAAAUCCAACAAAUUGUAUUGAACAAAGCACAUAUCCUGAUCUCUAUUUCAGAGUCACAAACAAUGAGCACAAGACUGAAUUAAAAAAGAAAUUCCAGCGCAUAUGUUAGUAAAAAUUUUCUCUAUACUUCCUGUUUAAAUUCACUUCUCUAGUACACUUUUUAUGUGAAUUUGGACUGGUUAAUCUGUUUGAUCGUUAUAAAAUUGACGAGUUUGUUUGCUUUUCUAAAAAGAAAAUAAAAAAAUAAUCAUUUAAUUUGAAAAACAUAUCAUUUUUAACGAUCUUGUUUUGUUUUGUGUUUGCAUACCAUAACGAAAAGGAGGAGACGUCAACCAUUUCGUCGUUUAACUUUUACUCCCUCCAUAUUUUAUUAUAGAUCAUUUUGAUAUUUUCACACAUAUUAAAAAAUAUAGUUAAUUUUGUAUUGGAAAGAGAAAUUAUAAAUGAUUUUACAAGAUGGGUUAAUGGUGAUUUACCCCCUGUAAUAUAGGUCAUUUUUUGUUUUCCCCCCUGUAAAAUAUUUUUUUUUAUUUACCCCCUGUAAAAUAUAUUUUUUCCUAAUAGGUCAUAAAAAAAUGAAAAAUUCUGCAAAAAAAAUAAUAAAGUCGUUUUUUUAUGACCUAUUAGGGGGGGUAUUCCAAAAAAAUAUAUUUUACAAGGGGGUAAAUCAAAAAAAAAAAUUUACAAUGGGGAAAACAAAAAAUGACCUAUGUUACGGAUGGAAAGAUUUUUUUUCCAUCCGUAACAAAUUUUUUAUUUAAUAUUAAGUAAUUUUGGCUUCUAGUGGCAAUCAUGGGUAGGGUAGGGGCGUAACGGUUCGGUUUGUAUUGGUUUUCAGUCAAAAAAAUGUCUGAAUCCAUGAAAUCUUCAUCGGUUCAGAUUGGUUCGGUUUUUUCUGUUUUUCAAAAAAGAAAAUGAACCAAACUAGUCGGUUUGGAUCGGUUCGGUUGAUCGGUUUGUUUGAAAAUACAAUAAAAAAAAUCAUAUUUUCACAAAUUUGUGUUUCAUCUAUACAACAUACUCAAAUAUUUCAUAGAACUUUGUUUUCCAUAUUCUCUGUUUUUCAAACUACUUUUUAUAACUAAUAUGAAAAAACUAAAAAGAGAUGGACGAUCCUGACGGCGGUGAGGAACGAUGAGUUAGGGGUGAUCGACGACAAGUGUUCUUUUUUUGCAAAAACGAAUUAGAGUGUGAGUGAUGAGAUGAAAUGAUGAUGGGAGAAAGUGAAUGUAUUAAGGAGUAUUUUAGGUUGGACUUCAAUUUUGAGCUUAAUCAUAAGUGUGUGCGAGAAGGGAUAAUAUUACUAAAAUGGGGAGUCAUGUUAGCAUCGGUUCGGUUCAUCGGUUUAUUGGAUCUCAAAAUAAAAUACUGAGAACCAAACUUAACUACAUCGGUUUAGGUUGGUUCAGUUCGGUUUUGAACCGAACCAAACAAGGUCGGAUAUUUUCUCAGUUUGAUUCGGUUUGGAUUUUCGGUUUCAUCGGUUUUGUCCGAAUUUUCGUUGGUUUGUUUCGUAUCAUAGAGUAUUUCCCUAUCCCUUAUAAUGAUAUGAGAAAAAGAAACUAAAAUAAUAGAAAGAAGAUAGAAUAAUAAAUGGGCAAGGGUAUGGUAAGAAAAAAAAAUCAUUAAUGAUGCAUUGGUAUUGUUAAACGACAUAUAAAAAAAUCAAAACAUUUUUUUCUUUCAAAAUGACUUAUAAUAAAAUACGUACUACCUUUUCUUUUUUGAAGAAGAAUAAAUCAUCUUUAUUUUUAUUUUCAGAAUACUUUAGCUUCAAUUCUUAUUAAUUUUAUACUAUGUUUUCUUAAAGAAAAUAAAUAAAUUGAAUUUCACAAAUGUGAAUCUGAAAUUUAAAUUACGUACUAAAUUAAUCAUAGGUUUUGUUAUAUAUACAUAUUAUUUUUGUAAUUAUAAAUGUUUUUUUUGAAGUGUAAUUAUAAAUGUUUAUCCCACAUUUCUACUUGUUUAUGUGACUCAAUCACAUUCAAAUAUUUCAUUUGUCAUUUUAUAUAUUUUUUUACCUCAAACCUGAUAAUAUAAGAAAACAAAUACAAUACAGUUAACAAAUAACAUUAUUUUUUAAGUCAUUGUGACGUUAAUUUUGCCUACUAUAUCAAUAGAGAAAUAUUGCAUUACAAGACUAUUUUUAUUUUUCCCUCAAGAAAAAAAGACUAUUUUUAUUUUAUGUGAUUUAGCUUUGGACUUUGGUAUUGCCAAAAUAUUGUUGUACUUAUAUGCCAUUUCUUUAUAACUCCUUUAGGUGAUAAAUCUAUGAUUAGGAAGAGACAUGUGUACUUAACAGAAGAGAUUUUGAAAGAUAAUCCAAAUUUUUGCUUCGAUAAGACACCUUCUUUGGAUGCUAGGCAAGACAUGAUGGCGGUAGAGAUACCUAGACUAGGGAAGGAGGCUGCAGUGAAGGCUAU
rnacentral:lncRNA from 1 species